GCUCCCAACUUGCAUGUGUUGCCUACUCAAAAAUUCAUUGCAAGAAAAAUGUUCAAUAGCUAACCUAAUAAUUAAUCCAAUGAGCUAUAGCCCAGUGUUAUUAGAGUUAUCUUCAAAACUGUAAUUAAGGUCUCAAAUUUGAGUCUCAGACAAGCCGAAUAUACCAAAAAGACAAAAUUAUUGUAAAAAAUUUCAGUGACAGCAUGCAGUAUGUAGAUGUAUAUACAUGAACCCACCA
rnacentral:misc_RNA from 1 species